ACGAGAAUAUUCCGCAAUGGACGAAAGUCUGACGGAGCGACGCCGCGUGAUGGAUGAAGUGCCUUGGUACGUAAACAUCUUUUAUCGGGGACGAAGUUUAUUGACGGUACCCGAUGAAUAAGGAGCUCCUAACUCUGUGCCAGCAGGAGCGGUAAUACAGAGGCUCCAAGCAUUACCCGGAAUCACUGGGCGUAAAGGGUGUCUAGGCGGCCAUAUUAGUCUCUCGUUAAAUGUCCGAGCUCAACUUGGUCACUGCGAGGGAAACGGUAUGGCUCGAGGGCGUGAGAGGUGCAUGGAACUCAUGGUGGAGGGGUGAAAUCCGUUGAUAUCAUGGGGAACACCAAAGGCGAAGGCAAUGCACUGGUACGUUCCUGACGCUCAAACACGAAAGCUAGGGUAGCGAAGAGGAUUAGAUACCCCUGUAGUCCCUGAGCGGGCUGGCAAGGCGCAU
rnacentral:rRNA from 1 species